GACGAACGCUGGCGGCGUGCUUAACACAUGCAAGUCGAACGAAGUGGCGAACGGGAGAGUAACGCGUACUCAACCUGCCCCUCAGAGGGGGACAACAGUUGGAAACGACUGCUAAUACCGCAUACUUAAGGAGGUGUUUUCGUUUGAUUAGCUAGUUGGAGGGGUAACGGCCCACCCAGGCGCGGAUAAGGAGCCGGACUGGGAGGAUUGAGGGCGACCAUGGGAGUGGGAAACGGCACAGGCUCCGACGGGAGGCAGAAGUAGGGAAGCUUCCGCAAUGGACGGAAGUCUGACGGAGCAACGCCGCGUGAGGGAUGACGGCCUUCGGGUUGUAAAGCUCUGUUAGUCGGGACGCGGUACCGGAAUAGAAAGCCACGGCUAACUACGUGCCAGCCGCCGCGGUAAUAC
rnacentral:rRNA from 1 species